rnacentral:lncRNA from 1 species
AUUCAAAUCAGAUUUGAGUUAGGACUCCUAUACUUAUUAGGUCAUGGGAUUCAUCUAUAAAUAGAGAGAGUCUCUACCUGUGGAUGCAUAGCAAAUAGCAAACAAAUUAGACUGAGAGAAGAGAAAAAGAGAGAGAGAGGUGUGAGAAGAUAGAAGCCCUUCUUCUUCUCCUUAGCCUCUCUUCUUUGGUGCCGCCCAUCCUACCUUGGGCGUGGGCCCUCCUUGGGCAUCCCACCUGCUGGUGUGAGGUGUCAUACCAGUACAUUUCCUCCCUCAUUUGAUUGAGUUACAA